AGUGAACGCUGGCGGUAGGCCUAACACAUGCAAGUCGAACGGCAGCACAGUAAGAGCUUGCUCUUACGGGUGGGGGGUGGCGGACGGGAGAGGAAUACAUCGGACUCUACUUUUUCGGGGGGGAUAACGUAAGGAAACUUACGCUAAUACCGCAUCCGACCUACGGGUGAAAGCAGGGGAUCUUCGGACCCGGCGCGAGUGGAUGGGCGGGUGGCGGAUUAGCUUGUUGGCGGGGUAGUGGCCUACCAAGGCUUUGAUGGGUAGCUGGCCUGAGAGGGUGGCCGGCCACAUUGGGACUGCGAUACGGCCCAGAGUCGUACGGGAGGCAGCAGUGGGGAAUAUUGCACAAUGGGCGGAAGCCUGAUGCAGCAACGCCGCGUGCGGGAUGACGGCCUUCGGGUUGUAAACCGCUUUCGCCUGUGACGAAGCGUGAGUGACGGUAAUGGGUAAAGAAGCACCGGCUAACUACGUG
rnacentral:rRNA from 1 species